CUUAAUUUCUGCGCGUCGUCGAGGGAAAUAAAGAAGGAGCGGAUGCGCUUGUAAAUACAUCAGUGCGCUCCUCUUUCAUUUCCCGGAAUUAAAGUGGCGCCGCAGCUCAGGCAGGAACAGAAGAUUCAUGUGCGAAUAACAGAGGGACCUUCAGGGGGCACAGCUGUGACAGCAUGGAACAGCAGACCUCGUACUGACGGCCCUGAGAACGCCCCGUCUCCGCCGGCUUUUUUCCCUUUCAUCUGGCAUCUCACAGGACACCCGAGUCUCCUGAGGAGGACCCGCUGGUACCUUCAUGCCCUUCACCAGAAAAGAAGGACAGUAGGGCAAAGUCAUGGGAGAGGAACGUGUUGGAAGUGACGCUGAGGCCGGACAGUCAUGUGGUGUUUAUUUUGGGAUGCAGACAGGGUGGCGGAAGGUGAGAGCGGAGGGUGGGAGUAAAGCAGAUAAAAAGCAAACCUCUUCAGUGUGAGUCUCAUGGCCUGUAAUGCAGCAGCGACCCUGGUUGAUGUAAAGCACCCCCUCACCCUGUAAGCCCCUCCCUCGCUCCCUCAUUAUUUGCUGCGGCAGAUGCUCAAGAUCUCAAUAAUCCAGAGGAGCGAACUACUGUACCCAGGGACGAUUCCCCUCUUCCCAUGUAUGGACAUUUCUCUCCAUUGUCUCUUUGCACGGUAUCGAUACAUUUGCACAACAAUGAACGACUGUUUCUGCGCGUGCACUGCCUCAGGUUACUGGUCUGGUCUGCAUCUGUGAAAUCUGUACUGCAGAUUUACACUGCGUUUUCAUUCCUGUUGUGUUCUUCCGUUUUGCGUACAUUGUACUGUAGAGCUGCGAUGGGUCGGCACCCCCAUCCUGGGUCGUUCCCUGCCUUUUGGCCAUAGUCCCCGAGAUGGGCUCCGGACCUCCUGUGACCCUGAAUGAGACAAGUGGUUUCAGAAAAUGGAUGAAUGGAUGUAGUGCAGAGUGAUUCUCUUAUGUUUCCUGUAAUAUUGGCCUAUAUUUAUUUUUUGACACUGAACCACGACCAGUUUCUAGAAUGU